rnacentral:rRNA from 1 species
GAUGAACGCUGGCGGCGUGCCUAAUACAUGCAAGUCGAGCGAACGGACGAGAAGCUUGCUUCUCUGAUGUUAGCGGCGGACGGGUGAGUAACACGUGGAUAACCUACCUAUAAGACUGGGAUAACUUCGGGAAACCGGAGCUAAUACCGGAUAAUAUUUUGAACCGCAUGGUUCAAAAGUGAAAGAAGGUCUUGCUGUCACUUAUAGAUGGAUCCGCGCUGCAUUAGCUAGUUGGUAAGGUAACGGCUUACCAAGGCAACGAUGCAUAGCCGACCUGAGAGGGUGAUCGGCCAGACGGGAACUGAGACACGGUCCAGACUCCUACGGGAGGCAGCAGUAGGGAAUCUUCCGGAAUGGGCGAAAGCCUGACGGAGCAACGCCGCGUGAGUGAUGAAGGUCUUCGGAUCGUAAAACUCUGUUAUUAGGGAAGAACAUAUGUGUAAGUAACUGUGCACAUCUUGACGGUACCUAAUCAGAAAGCCACGGCUAACUACGUG